GUCCAAAUCCGAAGGGCUCGAUCCGUUCACGGCCUCAGAGGUUGGUGCACUGCACGCACCGCGGCACGGGACGGAUCGGCCAGGGCCCUCCAAGGUUCUGCUGCGGAGGCAUAGCACUUCCCCAGCUCGUGCUGUGCCGCUCGUUGCUCCUGCUUCAGACUUCUGCACCUGCUCUGCAUCUGCAUGCUGUACUCUCCACAAUGGUUCCCUAAUUACUCAAGGCUGCUUUGAAUGCCAUUAAUAUAACACUUCCCAUGCAAGCCAAGCCGUUAACAGACACAAUACAUAACACCACACAGGGGACUGUGAAGGCCACACACCUGCACUCCUCAGGGCAGGGUUUUUCCAAUUAAUCGCUGCUCUGAAGGCCUGGGUUUCAUCGCAUCCAUCUUUGCCCGACUUGCUUCUCAGACAGCAUCCUCUGAGAUGGGGUCAGAACCUCACGGCAGCAUCUCUGGCUACUCCACACGGGGCAUGUCACACCACCACAGGAACACGCCUGAUACAACAGGGCAUGCCACGUCAUCUCUUACGCAUCUUUCCAACUGCUUCCAGGGGACCACUGAUAUUUAAUUGUUUUGGUGUUUGUCCUGGAAAUGAAAUCACAGGGACAGGUGCUCUUCCUCCCAGCUUAGCUGGAAUUCACAGUCCUUCCCUCUAACAGCAAGCACAGUUCAGCGGAGAGAUGCUCAUUACAGGGGUAAUCUGGACCCCAAACACCAGAUCUGAGCCAACCCAAGUGUCCACCACGCUACAGCUUCAGCCAGCAGGGAGGAGGCAGAGACUGAACCCACAACACCAGACCCUCGAUGCCAUCACCAUGUCCACCUGCCCCUCAUCCAGCCGCCGGCCGGUGCCUCCGCACACAGCCUCGAGCCCGCUCCCGGGAGAAGCACAAAGGCUGCUGGAGACAUAUUUUCUGAGCUAAGAAAGCUGGAUGGCUGCGGUAUUUACAUCUGCAGUGCUCCUGCAGGCUUGCCAGGUAAUUCUG